GCGGAAGUAGUUCAGCGGUAGAACACCACCUUGCCAAGGUGGGGGUCGCGGGUUCGAAUCCCGUCUUCCGCU
rfam:Pontibacillus chungwhensis BH030062 contig17, whole genome shotgun sequence.